rnacentral:lncRNA from 1 species
GCCACUGCGAUCAAAGCAGAUGAACGACAGACAAAUGGCGACCUGUCCAGUCUGACCAUUGGAUGCAACUGGCUCCCGGCAGCACUCACGCGAAGGGCACCUUACAUUUAUGAUGGACAACACGCCAGGUAUCUAGACACAUAAUCUUCAGGUGUUGGGAAAUAACAUCUUCAAUCUGAGAAUAACAAGGCCUGC